UAUAUGGUUCAGUAUUUUUAUUAUAUUUGAAAAUAUGGAUUUUCGUGAAUAUAAUAAACGGAUUUCUGGAUUUUGUAAAAUGAAAGGUUUUCUACCCCUCGUGGUAGCGUUUUUUUUUAAAGAAUAAAUGUUUCCGUGCAGGAAGUAGUUUUCAAAAGGUUUAUGUGGAUUUAUGCUUAAAUGUGAAUCUGUAGUGAAUGGUGUAUGAAUAUAUAUAACGUUUGGUUAUUUGUAUGUUCAUUUGUUGUGGUUGUGCCUGGAUGACUUCUUGUACUUGUGCGAC
rnacentral:lncRNA from 1 species